rnacentral:rRNA from 1 species
UAAGGAAUAUUGGUCAAUGGAGGCAACUCUGAACUAGCCAUGCCGCGUGCAGGAAGACGGCCCUCUGGGUUGUAAACUGCUUUUAUUCGGGAAUAAACCUAUCUACGUGUAGAUAGCUGAAUGUACCGAAGGAAUAAGGAUCGGCUAACUCCGUGCCAGCAGCCGCGGUAAUACGGAGGAACCAAGCGUUAUCCGGAUUUAUUGGGUUUAAAGGGUGCGUAGGCGGCCUAUUAAGUCAGGGGUGAAAGACGGUAGCUCAACUAUCGCAGUGCCCUUGAUAAUGAUGGGCUUGAAUGAACUAGAGGUAGGCGGAAUGUGACAAGUAGCGGUGAAAUGCAUAGAUAUGUCACAGAACACCGAUUGCGAAGGCAGCUUACCAAGCAACAACUGACGCUCAUGCACGAAAGCGUGGGGAUCAAACA